rnacentral:rRNA from 1 species
GAUGAACGCUGGCGGCGUGCCUAAUACAUGCAAGUCGAGCGAACGGACGAGAAGCUUGCUUCUCUGAUGUUAGCGGCGGACGGGUGAGUAACACGUGGAUAACCUACCUAUAAGACUGAGAUAACUUCGGGAAACCGGAGCUAAUACCGGAUAAUAUUUUGAACCGCAUGGUUCAAAAGUGAAAGACGGUCUUGCUGUCACUUAUAGAUGGAUCCGCGCUGCAUUAGCUAGUUGGUAAGGUAACGGCUUACCAAGGCAACGAUGCAUAGCCGACCUGAGAGGGUGAUCGGCCACACUGGAACUGAGACACGGUCCAGACUCCUACGGGAGGCAGCAGUAGGGAAUCUUCCGCAAUGGGCGAAAGCCUGACGGAGCAACGCCGCGUGAGUGAUGAAGGUCUUCGGAUCGUAAAACUCUGUUAUUAGGGAAGAACAUAUGUGUAAGUAACUGUGCACAUCUUGACGGUACCUAAUCAGAAAGCCACGGCUAACUACGUG